AUUGCAAUAAAUAAGUGAACGGUGCACUUGGGCGGUGCACUUUGGUCGAAAGAUUUUCUUGCAAUAAAUAAGUGGACGGUGGGCAGUUGUGUUCCAUUUUUUUUUUUAAUUUGAAUCUUCAACAAUCAUCUUCCCUAUAUCU
rnacentral:snoRNA from 1 species